rnacentral:rRNA from 1 species
GUGCAAGCGUUAAUCGGAAUUACUGGGCGUAAAGCGUGCGCAGGCGGUUUGUUAAGUCCGCUGUGAAAUCCCCGAGCUCAACUUGGGAAUUGCAGUGGUUACUGGCAAGCUGGAGUAUGGUAGAGGAAGGUGGAAUUCCCGGUGUAGCAGUGAAAUGCGUAGAGAUCGGGAGGAACACCAGUGGCGAAGGCGGCCUUCUGGACCAAUACUGACGCUCAUGCACGAAAGCGUGGGGAGCAAACAGG